ACGGGAUUUGCGACUGUUGGAAGGGCAUGUGCAUUGCACCUAAAGGACGAGGCAGGGGUGCCAUAGAUGUUGCAGCGGGUGCAGAAGGAAUUGGUGCAUGUGCAUCUCUCUUUGUCUGUGUAGGUGGGGGAUGAGGCCCCACGGUCCGUGAUGGAUUAGCACCCAAUUCUUUCCUUGGCAGUUGCUGCUGCUGUUUCGGGGCAGUGGGUAUGGGCUGUGUGGGUAUUGCCAUGAAAGAUUGAUGGCGCACCUGAUCAAGUUUCUGCUCAUCCAGAUUCGGAGGGGCUGAGCUCGUACGCGCAGGAAUCUGCAUCCCAUUCAUAAUAGUACUUAUAGUACCAAACUGAAGAGGAAACCCAGCAGGAGGCGCAUCCGCUUUCCGUGGGGUUUUAGGGGCAGUCGGCUCA
rnacentral:misc_RNA from 1 species